rnacentral:rRNA from 1 species
GACGAACGCUGGCGGCGUGCUUAACACAUGCAAGUCGAACGGAAAGGCCCUGCUUUUGUGGGGUGCUCGAGUGGCGAACGGGUGAGUAACACGUGAGUAACCUGCCCUUGACUUUGGGAUAACUUCAGGAAACUGGGGCUAAUACCGGAUAGGAGCUCCUGCUGCAUGGUGGGGGUUGGAAAGUUUCGGCGGUUGGGGAUGGACUCGCGGCCUAUCAGCGUGUUGGUGGGGUAGUGGCUUACCAAGGCUUUGACGGGUAGCCGGCCUGAGAGGGUGACCGGCCACAUUGGGACUGAGAUACGGCCCAGACUCCUACGGGAGGCAGCAGUGGGGAAUAUUGCACAAUGGGCGGAAGCCUGAUGCAGCAACGCCGCGUGCGGGAUGACGGCCUUCGGGUUGUAAACCGCUUUCGCCUGUGACGAAGCGUGAGUGACGGUAAUGGGUAAAGAAGCACCGGCUAACUACGUG